CCUACGGGUGGCAGCAGUGGUGAAUAUUGCACAAUGGGGGAAACCCUGAUGCAGCGACGCCGCGUGAGUGAAGAAGUAUUUCGGUAUGUAAAGCUCUAUCAGCAGGGAAGAAGAAAGACGGUACCUGACUAAGAAGCCCCGGCUAACUACGUGCCAGCAGCCGCGGUAAUACGGAGGAUGCGAGCGUUAUCCGUAUUUAUUGGGUCUAAGGGGUGCGUAGGCGGAUCGUUAAGUCAGUGGUCAAAUUGAGGGGCUCAACCCCUUCCCGCCAUUGAAACUGGCGCUCUUGAGUGGAAGAGAAGUAUGCGGAAUGCGUGGUGUAGCGGUGAAAUGCAUAGAUAUCACGCAGAACCCCGAUUGCGAAGGCAGCAUGCCGGCUUCCGACUGACGCUGAAGCACGAAAGCGUGGGGAUCGAACAGGAUUAGAUACCCCUGUAGUC
rnacentral:rRNA from 1 species